AUGAACGCUGGCGGCGUGCCUAACACAUGCAAGUCGAACGGAGUUUAGCGCUGAUGAAGCUUCGGCAGAUUCUGUAAACUAGUGGCGGACGGGUGAGUAACGCGUGGGUAACCUGCCUCAUACAGGGGGAUAGCAGUUGGAAACGACUGAUAACACCGCAUAAGCGCACGGUGUCGCAUGACACAGUGUGAAAAUAUUUAUAGGUAUGAGAUGGACCCGCGUCUGAUUAGCUAGUUGGUGAGGUAACGGCCCACCAAGGCGACGAUCAGUAGCCGGCCUGAGAGGGCGGACGGCCACAUUGGGACUGAGACACGGCCCAAACUCCUACGGGAGGCAGCAGUGGGGGAUAUUGCACAAUGGGCGAAAGCCUGAUGCAGCGACGCCGCGUGAAGUGAAGAAGUAUUUCGGUAUGUAAAGCUCUAUCAGCAGGGAAGAGAGACCUCGUAAGAGGGGAUGACGGUACCUGAGUAAGAAGCCCCGGCUAACUACGUGCCAGCAGCUGC
rnacentral:rRNA from 1 species